GCGGACGGCUGAGUAACACGUAGGAACCUGCCCCCAGGUAAGGAAUAGCUCAUCGAAAGAUGGGGUAAUGCCUUAUAGUCCAGGUACCGUAUGGUACCUGGUAAAGGAUUUAUUCGCCUAGGGAUGGACCUGCGGCUUAUCAGGUAGUUGGUGAGGUAACGGCUCACCAAGCCUAUGACGAGUAGCUGGCCUCAUGAGGGUGGUCAGCCACACUGGGACUGAGACACGGCCCAGACUCC
rnacentral:rRNA from 1 species